GUGCCAGAUGCUUCAUGGGAAGGUUU
rnacentral:piRNA from 1 species